UACGGAGGAGGCAAGCGUUAUCCGGAAUUAUUGGGCGUAAAGCGUCCGUAGGUGGUUGGCCAAGUCUGCUGUCAAAGGGUGGGGCUUAACCUCAUAAAGGCAGUGGAAACUGGCGAGCUAGAGUGCGGUAGGGGUAGGGGGAAUUCCCAGUGUAGCGGUGAAAUGCGUAGAGAUUGGGAAGAACAUCGGUGGCGAAAGUGCCCUGCGGGGCCUGCAUUGACACUGAGGGACGAAAGCUAGGGGAGCGAAAGGG
rnacentral:rRNA from 1 species